GAUUCCGGAGAGGGAGCCUGAGAAACGGCUACCACAUCCAAGGAAGGCAGCAGGCGCGCAAAUUACCCACUCCCGGCACGGGGAGGUAGUGACGAAAAAUAACGAUGCGAGAGCUUUUAGCUUUUCGUAACCGGAAUGGGUACACUUUAAAUCCUUUAACGAGGUUCUAUUGGAGGGCAAGUCUGGUGCCAGCAGCCGCGGUAAUUCCAGCUCCAAUAGCGUAUAUUAAAGUUGCUGCGGUUAAAAAGCUCGUAGUUGGAUCCGGGCAGUCGACGCGCGGUGCGCUUUACGGCGUUACUGCGUGCUCGUCGCCACUAUCCGGCCUUGUCUUUCAUGUUCUUUACUGAGCGUGAUCGGCGACCGGGACGUUUACUUUGAAAAAAUUAGAGUGCUUAAAGCAGGCAUAUGGCCUUGCAUAAUGGUGCAUGGAAUAAUGGAAUAGGACCUCGGUUCUAUUUUGUUGGUUUUCGGAGCUCGAGGUAAUGAUUAAGAGGAACAGACGGGGACAUUCGUAUUGCGGCGUUAGAGGUGAAAUUCUUGGAUCGUCACAAGACGAACUACUGCGAAAGCAUUUGUCAAGAAUGUUUUCAUUAAUCAAGAACGAAAGUUAGAGGUUCGAAGGCGAUCAGAUACCGCCCUAGUUCUAACCAUAAACGAUGCCAACCAGCGAUCCGUCGGUGUUCAUUCAAUGACUCGACGGGCAGCUUCCGGGAAACCAAAGUGCUUAGGUUCCGGGGGAAGUAUGGUUGCAAAGCUGAAACUUAAAGGAAUUGACGGAAGGGCACCACCAGGAGUGGAGCCUGCGGCUUAAUUUGACCCAACACGGGAAAACUUACCCGGCCCGGACACUGUAAGGAUUGACAGAUUGAGAGCUCUUUCUUGAUUCGGUGGUUGGUGGUGCAUGGCCGUUCUUAGUUGGUGGAGCGAUUUGUCUGGUUAAUUCCGAUAACGAACGAGACUCUAGCCUGCUAAAUAGCCAACUGAUCCGCUGCGUCGGUUGCUAUAAGCUUCUUAGAGGGACAGGCGACGUUUAGUCGCACGAGAUUGAGCAAUAACAGGUCUGUGAUGCCCUUAGAUGCCCGGGGCCGCACGCGCGCUACACUGGUUGAAGCAGCUGGCAUUACGUCUAGGUCGAAAGGCCCGGAAAAUCCGCUGAAACUCAACCGUGAUUGGGAUUGAGCUUUGUAACUAUCGCUCAUGAACGAGGAAUUCCCAGUAAGCGCGAGUCAUAAGCUCGCGUUGAUUACGUCCCUGCCCUUUGUACACACCGCCCGUCGCUACUACCGAUUGAAUGAAUUAGUGAGGACUUCGGACCGGACAUCGCGGCUGUCGCAAGAUGGCUGCGGCUGGCUGGGAAGAUGUCCAAACUGGCUCAUUUAGAGGAAGUAAAAGUCGUAACAAGGCU
rnacentral:rRNA from 1 species